rnacentral:rRNA from 1 species
UACGUAGGGGUGCAAGCGUUUAAUCGGAAUUACUGGGCGUAAAGCGUGCGCAGGCGGUUUGUAAGUCUGUCGUGAAAGCCCCGGGCUUAACCUGGGAAUUGCGAUGGAGACUGCAAGGCUUGAAUCUGGCAGAGGGGGGUAGAAUUCCACGUGUAGCAGUGAAAUGCGUAGAUAUGUGGAGGAAUACCGAUGGCGAAGGCAGCCCCCCUGGGAUAACACUGACGCUCAUGCACGAAAGCGUGGGGAGCAAACAGG